UACGAGUGCCCCAAGCGUUAUCCGGAAUCAUUGGGCGUAAAGGGUGUGUAGGUGGUUGUGUUAGUCUUCUGUCAAAUUCUUCGGCUCAACCGGGGGUCCGCAGAGGAAACGGCACAACUCGAGGAUGUGAGGGGUGAAUGGAACUCAUGGAGUAGGGGUGAAAUCCGUUGAUAUCAUGGGGAACACCAAAAGCGAAGGCAAUUCACUGGCGCAUUCCUGACACUGAAACACGAAAGCGUGGGUAGCGAACUGG
rnacentral:rRNA from 1 species